AUUGAACGCUGGCGGCAGGCCUAACACAUGCAAGUCGAGCGGUAACAGGAAGCAGCUUGCUGCUUCGCUGACGAGUGGCGGACGGGUGAGUAAUGUCUGGGAAGCUGCCUGAUGGAGGGGGAUAACUACUGGAAACGGUAGCUAAUACCGCAUAAUGUCGCAAGACCAAAGAGGGGGACCUUCGGGCCUCUUGCCAUCGGAUGUGCCCAGAUGGGAUUAGCUUGUUGGUGGGGUAACGGCUCACCAAGGCGACGAUCCCUAGCUGGUCUGAGAGGAUGACCAGCCACACUGGAACUGAGACACGGUCCAGACUCCUACGGGAGGCAGCAGUGGGGAAUAUUGCACAAUGGGCGCAAGCCUGAUGCAGCCAUGCCGCGUGUAUGAAGAAGGCCUUCGGGUUGUAAAGUACUUUCAGCGGGGAGGAAGGGAGUAAAGUUAAUACCUUUGCUCAUUGACGUUACCCGCAGAAGAAGCACCGGCUAACUCCGUG
rnacentral:rRNA from 1 species